rnacentral:rRNA from 1 species
UACGACUACAUAUCAGGCAUAUCAAUAAGCGGAGGAAAAGAAACUAACAAGGAUUCCCCUAGUAACGGCGAGUGAAGCGGGAAGAGCUCAAAUUUGAAAUCUUAAAGGGUUCUACCUUGACGAAUUGUAGUUUAAAGAAGUGUUUUCUGUUAGAUGAGUAGCAAAAGUUCCUUGGAAUGGGACAUCAUAGAGGGUGAGAAUCCCGUAUUUGACGUUAUUCAUUCUAGCUGUGUGAUACACUUUCAAAGAGUCGGAUUGUUUGGGAAUGCAGUCCAAGAUGGGUGGUAAAUUUCAUCUAAAGCUAAAUAUUGGCGAGAGACCGAUAGCGAACAAGUACCGUGAGGGAAAGAUGAAAAGAACUUUGAAAAGAGAGUUAAACAGUACGUGAAAUUGUCAAAAGGGAAGCGUUUGACACCAGUGUUGUUUUUCCGAAAAUCAAUUACGAAUGGCUUGAUUUUGUGUUGUAUUGACCUUAUCAGCUUUCUGCACUUUUUUCGAGUCUUUCUUAAUGCACUUUUCGGUUAACAAGUCAACAUCAAUUUCUUUUGUUGUAAAAGAGUAUUCGGAAGGUGGCUUUCUUUUCGGAGAAAGUGUUUAUAGCCCUAUACUUCUACAAUCGGAGAGACUGAGGUCUGCAGCGUAGAUCCUUCGGGGUUAGAUACACUUGUGCUAAGUUGUAGCUUUUCAUAGACAACUUGUUGACUAUGUUUAGUCUUGCGGCUUACUCGCUUGUGCUAUUUUACCUACGCUUAGGAUGUUGAGUAGCGACAUACGCAC